rnacentral:rRNA from 1 species
GUAAGGAAUAUUGGACAAUGGACGCAAGUCUGAUCCAGCCAUGCCGCGUGAAGGAUUAAGGUCCUCUGGAUUGUAAACUUCUUUUAUAAGGGACGAAAAAAGGCUUUUCUAAGUCGUCUGACGGUACCUUAUGAAUAAGCACCGGCUAACUCCGUGCCAGCAGCCGCGGUAAUACGGAGGGUGCAAGCGUUAUCCGGAUUCACUGGGUUUAAAGGGUGCGUAGGCGGGCAGGUAAGGCAGUGGUGAAAUCCUAGAGCUUAACUCUAGAACUGCCAUUGAUACUAUCUGUCUUGAAUAUUGUGGAGGUAAGCGGAAUAUGUCAUGUAGCGGUGAAAUGCUUAGAUAUGACAUAGAACACCUAUUGCGAAGGCAGCUUACUACGCAUAUAUUGACGCUGAGGCACGAAAGCGUGGGGAUCAAACAGGAUUAGAUACCCGUGUAGUCC